rnacentral:lncRNA from 1 species
GUCACUCCAUUGCUGGGGGGACAGGCUCUGGCUUGGGCUCCUACCUCUUGGAACGGCUAAAUGACAGGUACCCCAAAAAACUAGUGCAGACGUACUCCGUGUUCCCCAACCAGGACGAGAUGAGUGACGUGGUGGUCCAGCCCUACAACUCCCUCCUCACGUUAAAGAGGCUGACCCAGAACGCGGACUGUGUGGUGAGGCCUGGAUUCUUGUUCCGGCUCCCAUCCCCCUGUCUGCUCAUCUUCGUUUUGAGCUCUCUUGUGCCAUAAGCCUGAGAAGGUCCCUUUGGAGUGAGUGUUUCCGACCAUAAGGCUCAAGGCUAGACUCAGGCCAAGCUUGCGGUGUUCUUGCCCUUAUAAAUCUUCAACCCUUUGCUAUCUCUUCUAGGUGGUGCUGGACAACACGGCCCUGAACCUGAUCGCCACAGACCGCCUGCACAUCCAGAACCCAUCCUUCUCCCAGAUCAACCAGCUGGUGAGCCCCCACUCCUGGAAUGAGAGCCCUCUGUCUGCGAGAGAGUCAUCAGAGGAGGGACGCUCCACCUCCAUCAAGCCCCAUGACACAGUAUCUCCUGCUCCCAGGUGUCCACCAUCAUGUCAGCCAGCACCACCACCCUGCGCUACCCCGGAUACAUGAACAACGACCUCAUCGGCCUCAUCGCCUCACUCAUUCCCACCCCUCGACUACACUUCCUCAUGACUGGCUAUACCCCCCUCACCACGGACCAGUCAGUAAGAGCUCCCCCAGUGUCCCAGCACUGAGGCCUUUCCCUUUUCCAUACUC